AUGUUGAAAUACCGGUUCUCAUCCAAUCACCAAAGUUAAGCAACAUAGAACCCAGUCAGUGCUUAGACGGGUGACCACUUGGGAAUACCAGGUGCUGUAAU